rnacentral:rRNA from 1 species
AUUGAACGCUGGCGGCAGGCCUAACACAUGCAAGUCGAGCGGAUGAAGGGAGCUUGCUCCUGGAUUCAGCGGCGGACGGGUGAGUAAUGCCUAGGAAUCUGCCUGGUAGUGGGGGAUAACGUCCGGAAACGGGCGCUAAUACCGCAUACGUCCUGAGGGAGAAAGUGGGGGAUCUUCGGACCUCACGCUAUCAGAUGAGCCUAGGUCGGAUUAGCUAGUUGGUGGGGUAAAGGCCUACCAAGGCGACGAUCCGUAACUGGUCUGAGAGGAUGAUCAGUCACACUGGAACUGAGACACGGUCCAGACUCCUACGGGAGGCAGCAGUGGGGAAUAUUGGACAAUGGGCGAAAGCCUGAUCCAGCCAUGCCGCGUGUGUGAAGAAGGUCUUCGGAUUGUAAAGCACUUUAAGUUGGGAGGAAGGGAAGUAAGUUAAUACCUUGCUGUUUUGACGUUACCAACAGAAUAAGCAACGGCUAACUUCGUG